rnacentral:rRNA from 1 species
AUAACCGCCGGAAACGGCGACUAAUACCCCAUUAUGAUGUGAUGCUGCAUGGCAUUGCAAUGAAAGAUUCAUCGGUGGCGGAUAGGCUCGCGGGACAUUAGCUAGACGGCGGGGCAACGGCCCACCGUGGCGACGAUGUCUAGGGGUUCUGAGAGGAAGACCCCCCACACUGGGACUGAGACACGGCCCAGACUCCUACGGGAGGCAGCAGUGAGGAAUAUUGGUCAAUGGGCGGAAGCCUGAACCAGCCAUGCCGCGUGAAGGACUAAGGCCCUACGGGUCGUAAACUUCUUUAGACGCAGAGCAAUAAGGUCCACGAGUGGACCGAUGAGAGUAUGCGUAGAAUAAGCAUCGGCUAACUCCGUGCCAGCAGCCGCGGUAAUACGGGGGAUGCGAGCGUUAUCCGGAUUCAUUGGGUUUAAAGGGUGCGUAGGCGGCCGAGUAAGUCAGCGGUGAAAGACCGGGGCUCAACCCUGGAAGUGCCGUUGAUACUGUUUGGCUGGAAUGAUCCCGCCGCGGGAGGAAUGAGUGGUGUAGCGGUGAAAUGCAUAGAUAUCACUCAGAACACCGAUUGCGAAGGCAUCUCGCGAGGGGUCAAUUGACGCUGAGGCACGAAAGCGUGGGGAUCGAACAGGAUUAGAUACCCUGGUAGUCCACGCGGUAAAC